CCUACGGGUGGCUGCAGUAGGGAAUAUUGCUCAAUGGUGGAAACCCUGAAGCAGCAACGCCGCGUGGAGGAUGAAGGUUUUAGGCUUGUAAACUCCUUUUGUGAGAGAAGAUAAUGACGGUAUCUCACGAAUAAGCACCGGCUAACUCCGUGCCAGCAGCCGCGGUAAUACGGAGGGUGCAAGCGUUACUCGGAAUCACUGGGCGUAAGGGGUGUGCAGGCGGGCUUGUAAGUCAGAUGUGAAAUCCUGUAGCUUAACUACAGAACUGCAUUUGAAACUAUGAGUCUAGAGUGUGGGAGAGGUAGGUGGAAUUCUAGGUGUAGGGGUAAAAGCCGUAGAAAUCAAGAGGAAUACUCAGUGCGAGGGCGACCUACUGGAACAUUACGGACGCUCAGGCACGAAAGCGUGGGGAGCAAACAGGAUUAGAUACCCUUGUAGUC
rnacentral:rRNA from 1 species